GAUGAACGCUGGCGGCGUGCCUAAUACAUGCAAGUCGAGCGAACAGACGAGGAGCUUGCUCCUCUGACGUUAGCGGCGGACGGGUGAGUAACACGUGGAUAACCUACCUAUAAGACUGGGAUAACUUCGGGAAUCCGGAGCUAAUACCGGAUAAUAUAUUGAACCGCAUGGUUCAAUAGUGAAAGACGGUUUUGCUGUCACUUAUAGAUGGAUCCGCGCCGCAUUAGCUAGUUGGUAAGGUAACGGCUUACCAAGGCAACGAUGCGUAGCCGACCUGAGAGGGUGAUCGGCCACACUGGAACUGAGACACGGUCCAGACUCCUACGGGAGGCAGCAGUAGGGAAUCUUCCGCAAUGGGCGAAAGCCUGACGGAGCAACGCCGCGUGAGUGAUGAAGGUCUUCGGAUCGUAAAACUCUGUUAUUAGGGAAGAACAAAUGUGUAAGUAACUAUACACGUCUUGACGGUACCUAAUCAGAAAGCCACGGCUAACUACGUG
rnacentral:rRNA from 1 species